UUACGGCCACAUCACGUGAAAACACCGGUUCCCGUACGAUCCCCGAAGUUAAGCAACGCCUAGCCUACUCAGUACCAAGAUGGGUGACCGCUUCUGAAUACCGGGUGGUGUAAG